rnacentral:rRNA from 1 species
CACGUAGGGGGCAAGCGUUGUCCGGAUUUAUUGGGCGUAAAGAGCUCGUAGGUGGCUGAGUAAGUCGGGUGUCAAAUCUUCAGGCUCAACCUGGAACACCACUCGAUACUGCUCUAGCUAGAGUCCGGUAGGGGAGCGUGGAAUUCCUAGUGUAGCGGUGAAAUGCGCAGAUAUUAGGAGGAACACCAGCGGCGAAGGCGGCGCUCUGGGCCGGAACUGACACUGAGGAGCGAAAGCGUGGGUAGCAAACAGG